UCACAAGGGUGUACUACGGGCGUCUCGCGGGUCAGACAAGCGAAAGAUCCUGUUCCUGAAGAAUAGAAUGAAAAUUUAAGCUUUUAGAGCCAUUGCUUUCGUCGUGCCUGCACCUACCUAAAAAUGGGAAUAGCCGAUGCUAUCGAUCACCGUGGUUCGAUGGUGGUGACUCUGACCUGCAUGUAACGAAUUCGAAGGCUCGUGCGAGUGUGUCGCGAACAUACCGUGAAAAGAACGCACGCGACGAUAACGUCAAUUGCGCUACGACGACGAGGAAUUCACGAAGUGGACGACGGCAAUCUACGCGACGUCUAUCAAUCGCGAUUGAUCAACGAAAGUAGUCGGUCCAUGGUCAAAAGGAUGGUAUAACAAGGUCAACAAUCGCGUUAUCAUGCGAAACGUGAUGAUAUUUGACGUCACUUUUGAUAUGUGAUCCGUACUCACAAGUCAUGAGGUUUGAUACACAGUUACCAUGAGCGUAUCAAGAACGCAGAACGUACUACGUUUUUUUUUUCUUCUUCAAGUUUCAAACUUGAUCAAGAAGAAAUGACUUGAAGGACAUUUUUGUCUCGGAGAAAUAUGCAAAUUGAUCAAGUACUGAUUAAAACCCGUUUGUAUAAGAAAUAAAUUAAAUAUGUCAGUAGUCGUAAACUCCAUGGAAUAAGAAGUAAAAGUAUCUAUGUUUAACAUAU